CUUGGUCAUUUAGAGGAAGUAAAAGUCGUAACAAGGUUUCCGUAGGUGAACCUGCGGAAGGAUCAUUACCGUGUUGGUUGAGCGCCCCUCCCCCCCGGGUCCCCCGGGGGCCGGGCGCCCCUACCUCCACCCGUGUCUACCCCAUUCCGUUGCCUCGGCGGGCCCGCCAGCCACCAGCCUGGCGGUCUCCGGGCGUCCCCUCCUGGGGGCGGCCCCGGGGGCCCGCGCCCGCCGGUGGAACCGCGAACGAACUCUGUGAGAAGCCAGUCUGUCUGAGCACGAAUGUGAAAUCAUGUAAAACUUUCAACAACGGAUCUCUUGGUUCCGGCAUCGAUGAAGAACGCAGCGAAAUGCGAUAAGUAAUGUGAAUUGCAGAAUUCCGUGAAUCAUCGAAUCUUUGAACGCACAUUGCGCCCCCUGGUAUUCCGGGGGGCAUGCCUGUCCGAGCGUCAUUGCAACCCCCUCAAGCCCGGCUUGUGUGUUGGGGGCGCCCACCCCGAAGUCCUCGGGCGCGGGCCCCCCCCCAAAUGCAGUGGCGGCACCGAGUUCCUGGUGUCUGAGUGUAUGGGAAUCUGUUUCUGUCUCGCUCGAAGACCCGAUCGGCGCCCGUCGUCAACCCCCCAUUCUUUCCGGUUUGACCUCGGAUCAGGUAGGAGUACCCGCUGAACUUAAGCAUAUCAAUAAGCGGAGGAAAAGAAACCAACAGGGAUUGCCUCAGUAACGGCGAGUGAAGCGGCAAGAGCUCAAAUUUGAAAUCUGGUCCCCUCGGGGCCCGAGUUGUAAUUUGGAGAGGAUACUUUGGGCGUGGCCGCGGCGUAAGUCCCUUGGAACAGGGCGUCACAGAGGGUGAGAAUCCCGUCUUGCGCUGCGUCCCGCGCCCGUGUAAAGUUCCUUCGACGAGUCGAGUUGUUUGGGAAUGCAGCUCUAAGUGGGUGGUAAAUUUCAUCUAAAGCUAAAUAUUGGCCGGAGACCGAUAGCGCACAAGUAGAGUGAUCGAAAGGUUAAAAGCACCUUGAAAAGGGAGUUAAAUAGCACGUGAAAUUGUUGAAAGGGAAGCGCUUGCAACCAGACUCGGUUCCGGGGGCUCAGCGGGCAUGCGUGCCCGUGUACUCCCCCGUCUCCGGGCCAGCAUCAGUUCGAGCGGCCGGUCAAAGGCCCCGGGAACGUAUCAUCCUCCGGGAUGCCUUAUAGCCCGGGGUGCAAUGCGGCCAGCUCGGACUGAGGAACGCGCCUCGGCACGGAUGCUGGCAUAAUGGUUGUAAGCGGCCCGUCUUGAAACACGGACC
rnacentral:rRNA from 1 species